AUUGAACGCUGGCGGCAGGCCUAACACAUGCAAGUCGAACGAGUGGCGGAAGGGUGAGUAAUGUCUGGGACACUGCCUGGUGGAGGGGGAUAACUACCGGAAACGGUAGCUAAUAACGCAUACCAUCAGAUGUGCCCAUGUGGGAUUAGCUUGUUGGAGGGGUAAAGGCUCACCAAGGCGACUAUCUCUAGUUGGUCUGAGAGGAUGAACAGCCACACUGGAACUGAGACACGGUCCAGACUCCUACGGGAGGCAGCAGUGGGAAAUAUUGCACAAGGGGCGCAAGCCUGAUGCAGACAUGCCGCGUGUGUGAAGAAGGUCUUCGGGUUGUAAAGUACUUUCAGCGGGGAGGCGUUACCAACAGAAGAAGCACCGGCUAACUCCGUGCCAGCUGCCGCGGUAAUUC
rnacentral:rRNA from 1 species